AUACGGAGGGUGCAAGCGUUAUUCGGAAUCACUGGGCGUAAAGGACGCGUAGGCGGGUUGGCAAGUCAGAUGUGAAAUCCUACUGCUUAACUGUAGAACUGCAUUUGAAACUGCUAACCUAGAGUAUGGGAGGGGGAGAUGGAAUUAGUGGUGUAGGGGUAAAAUCCGUAGAUAUCACUAGGAAUACCGAAAGCGAAGGCGAUCUCCUGGAACAUAACUGACGCUAAGGCGUGAAAGCGUGGGGAGCAAACAGUAUUAGAAACCCUAGUAGUCC
rnacentral:rRNA from 1 species